rnacentral:rRNA from 1 species
AGUGAACGCUGGCGGUAGGCCUAACACAUGCAAGUCGAACGGCAGCACAGUAAGAGCUUGCUCUUACGGGUGGCGAGUGGCGGACGGGUGAGGAAUACAUCGGAAUCUACUUUUUCGUGGGGGAUAACGUAGGGAAACUUACGCUAAUACCGCAUACGACCUACGGGUGAAAGCAGGGGAUCUUCGGACCUUGCGCGAUUGAAUGAGCCGAUGUCGGAUUAGCUAGUUGGCGGGGUAAAGGCACACCAAGGCGACGAUCCGUAGCUGGUCUGAGAGGAUGAUCGGCCACACUGGAACUGAGACACGGUCCAGACUCCUACGGGAGGCAGCAGUGGGGAAUAUUGGACAAUGGGCGCAAGCCUGAUCCAGCCAUACCGCGUGGGUGAAGAAGGCCUUCGGGUCGUAAAGCCCUUUUGUUGGGAAAGAAAAGCAGCAGGUUAAUACCCCGCUGUUCUGACGGUACCCAAAGAAUAAGCACCGGCUAACUUCGUG